UUGCAGGCUGCAACCCGCCCUGCAUGAAGUCGGAAUUGCUAGUAAUCGCGGAUCAGCAUGCCGCGGUGAAUACGUUCCCGGGCCUUGUACACACCGCCCGUCACACCAUGGGAGCCGGUAAUACCCGAAGUCAGUAGUCCAACCUCGUGAGGACGCUGCCGAAGGUAGGAUUGGCGACUGGGGUGAAGUCGUAACAAGGUAGC
rnacentral:rRNA from 1 species